GGUCCAAUAGUCUAGUUGGUUAGGGCACCGCAUUGUGGCCCUUGAGAUCCUGCGGAAACCCGUGUUCGAAUCACGGUUGGGCCA
rfam:Rhodotorula toruloides ATCC 204091 scaffold00018, whole genome shotgun sequence.